rnacentral:sRNA from 1 species
GCCGGGCAUGGUGGCGCAUGCCUGUAGUCCCAGCUACUUGGGAGGCUGAGGCAGAAAGAUCACUUGAGCCCAGGAGUUUGAGGUUGCUGUGAGCUAGCUGACACCAUGACACUUUAGCCCAGGCAACAGAGUAAGACUCUGUCUCAAAAAAAGACAGGGUCUUGCUCUGUCGCCCAGGCUAUGGUGCAGUGGUGCGUUGAUAGCUCACUGCAGCUUCAGACACCUUGGCUCAAGUGAUCCUCC